AAGUUUCUUCGCGCUAUAACUGCUUUGGCCAACAUGGCAAAAUAUCGGAAAACAUUAAGACAACGCCUCGAUAAGAAUCGCUCGUGGGCUUAUCAAGAAAUUGUGAUAGAAGCUCUGGUUGUCCUGUGGAUUGCCUGUGAAAUUUCAGUUAAACUGGGGACGUGCAUUUACACGGAGUGGCAAGCAACCCGUGUCGAUCCCAGCAAGUUCUCGUUAUCGGGCUUGAGUUUGCUGUACUUCGUACAUGGAGAAAAUGGAUGCUUCUGGGACAGAAUGGUGUCUGCGUGGAAGCAGUCCGCUCCCAUAACCACUUCGCCUGCUGAGACUGCAGGCGUACGCCACCAGCACAACACGUGCCGCUGUUGCCUACGUGGCAACCUUCGCUACUAUCUGCACAACGGCCACCUUAGGUGUGUCCGUCGGCUUGUAUCUCUUCGUCAACCGUCACUGGCAAUUCCCGCGAUUCACCCAGCAUCUGCCGUACUGCCACCGCAUCACAGCGUUAUUCCGUUACGACCGGAACCGGCAAGAUUACGGGGCACCUUAUAAAGACCCUAACGCUUCACGAAUCGUCUUUUUGCUGCUCCAUUCAAUCUUGUUCGGUGCCAAUUAUUCCUGCUUUGUCUGGGUGUGGCUGAUCGUCUGCGCUCUGCCGGUGGUUUUAGUAUCGCGCGUGUUGGUGCUGGUCCUCGUUAACAAAUUGGGUGAAGAAGCAACGUUCCCAUUCUGGGCACUGUUCGUUUGUCUGCUGAGUGUUCACUGUAUCGGCCGCAUCUGGGGCGUCUGGAUGACGGAAUGCUACUCGACAUGGAUAAAAAAUAAGAUUCGAACUUUGCGC